rnacentral:lncRNA from 1 species
CUCGUCAGUUACGAAGCUGGACUGAAACUGCCCUGUCAUUCAAUGCUGGAAGCUUCUGCGCGCGCGCGCGCCCAUGCGCGGUGCGGCAUCUUGGCUCACUGCCGUGCGGCGUGCGGCCUCUUGGCUCACUGCCGUGCGGCGUGCGGCCCCUUGGCUCACUGCCGUGCGGCGUGCGGCCUCUUGGCUCACUGCCGUGCGCGGUGCGGCUCAAGUCCGUCCAUGCGCGGUGCGGCGUGCGCCACGUCACCUGUGAGUCUAUACGUGCGCGCCACACAGUCGCGCCGUAUUGGCUCACUCUGGUGCGCCGCACACGGCACAGCAGGACCCAUGCACCAUGCGCCCAACCGCGUGCCUCGUGUACCCGCGCGCGCAUGCGCAUGACUGCCACGUCAUGCGCCGCAUCACCUACCACUUGGUCCUUGCAACCCUUUUGCUUCACCACGCGCGCGCGGUCAAAAAUACAAAGGCGGCUCUCAAAGUGCAAAGUGCGCCAUCAAAGCGCCACAUUGCGCCUCAUCGCCCACGCCACGCGCGCGCGCGCGCGAGCGUGUGCGAGUGCGAGUGCGAGUUAGGGUGCUCCGCACCCUUCGCGAGGACACUAG